GAUGAACGCUGGCGGCGUGCCUAAUACAUGCAAGUCGAGCGAACAGACGAGGAGCUUGCUCCUCUGACGUUAGCGGCGGACGGGUGAGUAACACGUGGAUAACCUACCUAUAAGACUGGGAUAACUUCGGGAAACCGGAGCUAAUACCGGAUAAUAUAUUGAACCGCAUGGUUCAAUAGUGAAAGACGGUUUUGCUGUCACUUAUAGAUGGAUCCGCGCCGCAUUAGCUAGUUGGUAAGGUAACGGCUUACCAAGGCAACGAUGCGUAGCCGACCAGAGAGGGUGAUCGGCCACACUGGAACUGAGACACGGUCCAGACUCCUACGGGAGGCAGCAGUAGGGAAUCUUCCGCAAUGGGCGAAAGCCUGACGGAGCAACGCCGCGUGAGUGAUGAAGGUCUUCGGAUCGUAAAACUCUGUUAUUAGGGAAGAACAAAUGUGUAAGUAACUAUGCACGUCUUGACGGUACCUAAUCAGAAAGCCACGGCUAACUACGUG
rnacentral:rRNA from 1 species